rnacentral:Y_RNA from 1 species
UGCUGGUCUGAAGGUAGUGAGUAAUCUCACUUGAUUGCUUGAUUGUUCACAGUCAGUUACAGAUUGAACUGCUUGUUCUACUCUUUCCCCUUCUCACUACUGCACUUGACUAGUCUAAA